rnacentral:ncRNA from 1 species
UCCACCACAAUGCCAUUAACGGUUUCAGCACAGAUGGAUAGCAACUGACAAGGUGAGAGCGGACAUACUCGGCAUACCCCUCACUGGUCGGCUUGACGCCAAGCUUUACCCUCUAGCGAGGGCAUUUUUGCGGAGGCCGUUUUAACAAACGACUCUUAGUGUUGGUCUCCUCACGCUAACCCCGUAGCGUGUGGCUUCAGCGGGCCUUUUAGGCCCGCUUUUUUUA